CGGGUUUCCCUGCCUCUUUUCUUCUCUCCUUCCCCUUUCCUCCCGCUCCUCUGUCCUCCCCGCAGCACCUUUGCUUUGGCUCUUUAGCUUUGGCUGGUCUCUCCCCGCAUCUCCACCAGCCCGGCCUAUCCUCUCCCUAGUUACGCGCUGCUCCGUCCCGGCCUCCGCACACUCCCCAGGGAGGCCCUUGGCCGCCCGGCCGCCUCCUCCCCGCGUCAGGGCCUCCCGCCCUGGAGGCCCGCGCCGGGCCCCUUGCUCCUGCGAGUGCUCAUUACGGCCGCUCACCUCACACCCCGGUCCGCCCCCUCCCUCCUAGGGCGGCCUCCGCGGCAGCCCCCGCAGCUCUGCCCACGCCGACCCCGCCCCCCAGCACCACCACCACGGGCUCCGGCAGUCGGAAAAAAAAAAGAAAAUCACCGCGUCCCCGAGCGGAGACCGAGGCACUGCCCGCCCCAGCUGCUGCCCACGUCACAGUGCAGGCGGACCGGAGCCCCAGCGGCAGAGCAGCCUGCGCCCCGCGGGCCCCGCCGAAGAGUAGCGGCCCGGGGCGGGGGCUGGAGCGCGGGCGCCACGAGUCCCAGCACUGCCCGCCGCGCUGCCGGCGCCCCAGGCUGGAGGAGGAUGCCGGACCCGCAGGGAAUUCAUUCCUGUCCCAGCCCUGGCCGCCCUUCUGACGGAGGAGCGGCGGGCAAAACCCGCUGCCCCCCGAGCAGAAGCUGAGGGGAGACGCUAGGCAGCCUCGGGGCGACGGCGGCCAGUGGGCGCCGAGCGAGGAGCACGAAGAACCGGCUGCGGCCGGGCGAGGCGGCGGGAAGCGUUCGGAGCCGCUGCCGAAGCUUCCAGCAGAGCCCUCGAAGUCGUUCCGUUCCUUUCUUCUGUAAACACCUAAUUGCAAGCCCCCGUGGGCCAGGCAUGGGGUACCAGAGAUCAGUAAAGCGGAGUCUCUGCCCUCGGGACCCCGUGUGGCGAAUACAGUGUGGUAAAUGAAAUCACAAAUCGUGGGAAAUUGUGAAAGGAAUCACGUUCUGUACACACACGCGACAAACAGCUCAACACAUUUCACAUAUAUUUCAGUCCUCAUCUGUUCAGAAGCUACUAUUAAAAGCUACUAUUAUCCCACCUCACAGAGGAGGAAACCGAGGCUCAGUUGUGUAACUUCUUGCUCAGAGUCACACAGCUAAUAGUAAUACGGAAGCGGGGAUUCUUAAACUGCCUGAUUGACUCCAAAAUGGACUUUACUGCUUUCUACUGAUAAAAGAAUUUGAAAUGACACUCAGAGCUAACUCAGUCUUCUAGAACGCUGGAGCUGGGAGUCACUCUAGGGACAGCCCUUGUUCUGUAAACAAGGGAGCAACAGCCCUGACAGAGCCAACUGGCAGGUAAGUGGCAGAGCUGGAAUUUUGAACUUCAAUAUCCUAACCUCCAGUUCAGAGCUCAGAAUCACCACACCUUGCUGAGUGCUUGGAGAAAGAGUAACUGGGGAACUCAUGCCCCAUAGACCAGGAACACUGGGAUUUGAUCUCCUCCAAGUGUAUUUAUUCCCAUGAGCUCCACUGAGUGACCAUACUUAAAGACUGCAGGAAGAAGGGUGCGACUUGUUUAAUAGCUGUUGAAUGUAAAACAGUUCUCUUGCUAAAACCUUUGGCCUCCUCCAGUGACUGCUCUCUAAAUACUCCAUUUUCUGAGAGUGAGAAUAGUUAAUGCUCAAAGAUGCUAAACAACAGCUGCAGUCUGCAUCUUCUCUCUAGAGUUGCUGCUCAGCAUUGAAUCCAGCCUCUAGGCUGGAACUCAAGUAACCUCGCUGCUUUGAAAGGUAGCUCUGGGGAAUAUUAAAAAGUCACCAAACCUCCUGGGACUCAUAUGCAGAGACACUUUGUAUAUGGAAGCAAACAGGAUGAAAAAGGCUGCACAGAGCAUGCCAUGCUUCUGACACAUUGUGGGCUCCAAUGUAUGGUCUCUGACUGCUAUGGUUUCAUCUGAGAGGAAAGCAAAGAAGAGAAAUAAAUGUUUGUUGAGUGAA